ensembl:lncRNA
AGCCCAGCGCGAUCUGAGGAGGUCGCGGUUGCUACUGUGGAGGUUGUGGCAGGCUCGAGGGGUUCCACAAAACCCGGGACUCGGCCUGAGCCUAAAAACUAGAACUUAUUCCCAGAGCGACGGCCCGUACUCGCGUACGGCGCUCUAUGAGCUGCUCGGCGUCCCUUCCACGGCCACGCAGGCGCAGAUCAAGGCGGCCUACUACCGGCAGAGCUUCCUCUACCACCCGGACCGCAACUCCGGGAGUGCUGAGGCCGCCGAGCGCUUCACGCGCAUCUCUCAGGCCGACGAGGACUUGCGCGGCCCCGGCGUCCGGCCCUCCAAGAAGCCCACCGCUGACCCCGACUCGCCCCGCACCCCACCGCCUGCUUCUCGGGCCCACGGCCGUGGUCAGGCCUCAGCGGGCGCCAGCAACACCAUGUUCAACUUUGACGCCUUCUACCGGGCGCACUACGGCGAGCAGCUGGAGCGCGAGCGGCGCCUUAGGGCCCGGAGGGAGGCCCUUCGCAAGCAGCAGGAGGACCGCGCCAAUAAGGGCUUACGCUGGGAUGAGAUCCGAGACUCGGCUUUUUUCUUGUUUCUGCUCACAGUCUUCAUCAUCAUGAGUUUUCGUUUUUAAUUGGAGAGUGGAGGGAAGGGGAGCAGCCCCCAGCCAGCACCCCCAACCCCCCAAGAAAAUGGCUGUGCGUGUCAUCUUGAACUCAUUGCCCUCCAUUGUCUACCUCUCCUGGGGUCCGAAGAAUUGCUCUCCCCCCUCUUCGUCCCCACCCGUCCAGUUUAACCACUGAUCUUCACAUCCCUAUCCCUCUGGUCCAGAUAAGGAGGCUUGUUGCUGCCCAAGAAAGAGGCCUCCAAUGAAGAGUCCCGAAAGUCCGAGAGCGAGAGGUUUCCUGGAGGCCCUGGGCUGCCUGCUUCCAGAUGUUGUCAACUUCUGGAAUACUUGCUCUAGCUUUCUUGUAAAGCUCUGAGCAAGACUCACCUGCUCCUACCCCACGUUUGUAGCGUGGGGCGUCUCUGUAACCUUGAAACGUGCAAUGUGACCAAUCAUGGCUGCCAAAAGAAAAAUUCUGGGGUUGUACGAAACUUGUCUUUCUGUGAGUUCCCCAAGCCGCAGCCAUAGCCUGAAGCGGAGACACGAGGGUGGAGCCCAAGUGAGUGGCUACCACACCCACUUUUGGGAAAAUGGCCUUGUCUUGUCUGGGGCCUUUGGGCCUCCUGGAAGUUCACCAGAUCCCAUGAAGAGUGGCCAAGAGAAGGGACAGCUGGUAAGUGGCAGUGUUAUUUCUGUCCACUUUGGAAUUCAGCACAGCACUAGAAGAAUAGGCUCUCUCCUGGUCUUUGCCCCCUCAGUUCCUCAGCCCUGUGAUGAGGUCACUCACUGCCUCCUGCCUCUGAGCAGGAUUGUAGAAGGCCCGCCUUGCCUGCCCUCAGUGGCUUGGCUCUCAGGCCAGGCUGGGAGCCCCAGCAGCCACGGGAUUUGUGCAGAGCAGCUGAGGGUCCCUCCGAGGGUGCGGUAGGAUGAGAGCAGACCUGAGUCUGGACCUUGUGAACUUGCAAAUGCUGGAGUUGCUCAGUGCUCUCAUUCCCCCGUAGCCGGAGCGGAUGGCUCAUCUUCACCAUCAUUGAGGUCAUCACUGACGUCAUUGUGUCACAACAGAUCUAUCCAUCUCGCCACUGUCUCUUAAAGCUGUCCAAACCUGGGGCCCCAUGGCUAGUCUUGAGGUGGGUUGGCCCUCCCAUCCUGCCUUUGUCCCAUCAGCAUUCACACCCUUGGUCCUGGGACAGGACUGUCGCUGGACAAAAGGCCUGUUUCAGGAAGAGCAAGAACUGACUGAGAUUCAGAGAUUGAUGGUUCACGGCUGGCCAGCCUUCAGCUUUUGGUUGUGGCUGACACAGUGUUAUAAAAUAAUUUUAGGAGUUCCCUGGUGGCUCAGUAGGUUAAGGAUCUGGUGUUGUCACUGGCGUGGCUCAGAUUUGAUCCCUGGCCUAGGAACUUCUGCAUUCCGUGGGCACAGCCAUGAAUUCAACAGACAAAUAACUUAAGCCAACAUUCAGAGCUUGAGAGACUUUGCAAAAAAUUCUAAUUUCUGACUUCUCUCAAAAAAUGAGAAGGUGUGCCACCGUUGAGCUCCCUUCCGUACUUGCAUGACCUCUGGGAAGAAGCUGUAACGUCUGCCUUUUAGAUCUGUCCUUGCUCCCCCGUUGGCUGUACUCCUGACAGCAGAGGGGAAAACAAACAAACAAAGGGAUCACGCAUUUGCAGGGAAAUGAGACACAGUGUAUUCCUCUGUGGAGAUGCAGCUGCUUUGCACUGUGACCUUCCUGGCCCCUACAGGUGUUUGAGUUUGCACAUCCCGAGGUCAUUUCCCAGGUUGUUUUAAGAGCUCACACUUAAUGCGGGAAGGCAGAAUGUAAAUCUUAUUUUCAUUGUGGGACAAGAAGAAUCUUUUGAGAAGUCUAAAGCAGUGGCAAGUUCCCAAAGUCAGAGGUACUUUAAUAAAAUAACACCAAUUCCUGCGCUCAAUCUUUUGUGUAAAAUCCCUGUAUAAAUUGGGAUAAACCCACAGCUAGUCCAGCUUGGUCUCUUGGAAAGCACUGGAUUUUCUCCAGCCUUGGAAGCCAGGGACAAGUUCUUAGCCAUGGCUUUGCAGUGACCAAACAAUUCAGUGGUAGAGAUUUGAUCUCACUCUGGUUUAGGCCUGCUUAGCAGCAGCAGUGCAGCAGCAACAACAACAACAACAACAAAGUACAUUUAAUGUUAUUAUGUUUCAUAUUUGGAAAACAAGGGGGGAAGCCUAGGAAAAUACACAGAAGCUAGUGAUUUCCAAACAAGGAGGUGCACAUAACAGACUAUCUUGAGGGGCAGGGAUGCUUUGUUUUUAUCAAGGGGUGGGAGUUUUGUUAUUUGGAUAAUUUUUGAGUUUUGUUUUGUUUUGUUUUGUUUUGGAGUUGCCAUUUUUCCAAGGUGAUUUUAUUUCUCUUGUCUUCCAAACCAUGGUAAACAUCUCUACUUCUUUCA